rnacentral:rRNA from 1 species
UACGUAGGGGGCAAGCGUUGUCCGGAUUUAUUGGGCGUAAAGAGCGUGUAGGCGGCUUUACAGGUCCGUUGUGAAAACUCGAGGCUCAACCUCGAGACGCCGGUGGAAACCGUAAAGCUAGAGUCCGGAAGAGGAGAGUGGAAUUCCUGGUGUAGCGGUGAAAUGCGCAGAUAUCAGGAGGAACACCCGUGGCGAAAGCGGCUCUCUGGGACGGUACUGACGCUGAGACGCGAAAGCGUGGGUAGCAAACAGG